UUCAGAAUUUGUCAAACGAAG
rnacentral:piRNA from 1 species